CUACACCUAUCUCUCUUCCUCCCGCGGUUCAUCUUCUUUCUUCUCCCUCUGUCCCUCAUCCUUCUCUUCUCUCUCUUGGCUCGCUUCUCCCCAAGCAACAUAGCCACCACGUUCUCCGGCAACUUCAAACACCAAAUCACCACCAUCCUCUUCCCAACCUCACACCAACACAGAACUAGAACCCAGAGUCCCAGAACUUAGACUCAAACCUCAAAUCAAAUAACCAUAGCUCCGUCUCGAAUCCGAGAGAGUUCCGGCGAGCUCAUUGCUUUCCCUACCAAGGUUUCCUGAGAUUUUUUGACCAAAUCUCAUCGUCUUGGACGAGAUUGACACCACAAAUGAACUCCCUAUAAUCCCAUGGAACAUAUUCGAGCUUUACAUGCUCAAAAUUGUCAGGGAUUCGUAGAGACCUAAGCUAGGCUUUUAGGCCAAUUUUCGACCACCUCUAGCCAUCCUUUGGCCUCGAUUUUGGUAAAAUCAAACUCCUCUUAAUCCCAACUUCAUUUUGACAUACUGUGUAUUACAAAUGGUUGAGAUUUAUUGCAGAUCUGCUUCUAUUUCGAAUCCAAAUAGGAAGAGGCCUAGAUUCUGUAUAGACCGGAUGAUUAAUUUAUUUGUGGAACAAGAAGAUGGGAUGAAGUAAAAGCUUUCUGGGAAAGAUUCAAGUGUUCAUAAAUGCUUGUUUUCAUUAUUCGUAUGAAUUGAUUGUUUGUAGAACUAAAUUGUAAAAACUUGUUUGUAAUAUUUGAAUUUGUAUUGUUUUUAAAUAUUUUACCGAUUGGGCACAAAAACAAAAUUGUGCUAACAUGGCUUGGAAAGAGUCAGAACUGUCAGAACUGAGAAACAAAAGAAACCCUAUUUGUGCUGAGCUUUUUGGGCAUCAAAGACCAUAUUGUGCCCAAUGAUCAAAGGUGACGCCCAUAGAGGGCACAUAUAUAA